GCCUGGCCCUAAAUCUUGAUGCUUACACCUACUAAAGCAUCCGCCCGAGAACUACGAGCACUAACGCUUAAAACUCUAAGGACUUGGCGGUGUCCCAAACCCACCUAGAGGAGCCUGUUCUGUAAUCGAUGAUCCACGAUAUACCUGACCAUUCCUUGCCAGAACAGCCUACAUACCGCCCGUUACCGUUAACCUACCCUGAAAGCCCAACAGUGAGCGCAAUAGCCCCACCACGCUAAUACGACAGGUCAAGGUAUAGCCUAUGGAAUGGAAGCAAUGGGCUACAUUUUCUAAGUUAGAACAUAACGGCAAAGGGGUAUGAAAUAACCCCUAGAAGGCGGAUUUAGCAGUAAAGUGGGACAAUCGAGCCCUCUUUAAGCCGGCCCUGGGACACGU
rnacentral:rRNA from 1 species